rnacentral:rRNA from 1 species
UACGGAGGGUGCGAGCGUUGUCCGGAAUCACUGGGCGUAAAGGGCGCGUAGGCGGCGCGGUAAGCGUGCGGUGAAAGCCCGGGGCUCAACCCCGGGUCGGCCGUGCGGACUGCCGGGCUCGAGCACUGUAGAGGCGGGUGGAAUUCCGGGUGUAGCGGUGGAAUGCGUAGAGAUCCGGAAGAACACCGGUGGCGAAAGCGCUCUACUGGGCCAUAACUGACACUGAGGGACGAAAGCUAGGGGAGCGAAAGGG